GAUGAACGCUGGCGGCGUGCCUAAUACAUGCAAGUCGAGCGAACAGAUGAGGAGCUUGCUCCUCUGACGUUAUCGGCGGACGGGUGAGUAACACGUGGAUAACCUACCUAUAAGACUGGGAUAACUUCGGGAAACCGGAGCUAAUACCGGAUAAUAUAUUGAACCGCAUGGUUCAAUAGUGAAAGACGGUUUUGCUGUCACUUAUAGAUGGAUCCGCGCCGCAUUAGCUAGUUGGUAAGGUAACGGCUUACCAAGGCAACGAUGCGUAGCCGACCUGAGAGGGUGAUCGGCCACACUGGAACUGAGAAACGGUCCAGACUCCGACGGGAGGAAGCAGUAGGGAAUCCUCCGCAAUGGGCGAAAGCCGGACGGAGCAACGCCGCGUGAGUGAUGAAGGUCUUCGGAUCGUAAAACUCUGUUAUUAGGGAAGAACAAAUGUGUAAGUAACUAUGCACGUCUUGACGGUACCUAAUCAGAAAGCCACGGCUAACUACGUG
rnacentral:rRNA from 1 species